rnacentral:rRNA from 1 species
AUUGAACGCUGGCGGCAGGCCUAACACAUGCAAGUCGAGCGGAUGAAGGGAGCUUGCUCCUGGAUUCAGCGGCGGACGGGUGAGUAAUGCCUAGGAAUCUGCCUGGUAGUGGGGGAUAACGUCCGGAAACGGGCGCUAAUACCGCAUACGUCCUGAGGGAGAAGGUGGGGGAUCUUCGGACCUCACGCUAUCAGAUGAGCCUAGGUCGGAUUAGCUAGUUGGUGGGGUAAAGGCCUACCAAGGCGACGAUCCGUAACUGGUCUGAGAGGAUGAUCAGUCACACUGGAACUGAGACACGGUCCAGACUCCUACGGGAGGGAGCAGUGGGGAAUUUUGGACAAUGGGCGGAAGCCUUAUCCAGCCAUGCCGCGUGGUUGGAGAAGGUCUUCGGAUUUUAAAACACUUUAAGUUGGGAGGAAGGGCAGUAAGUUAAUACCUUGCUGUUUUGACGUUACCAACAGAAUAAGCACCGGCUAACUUCGUG